rnacentral:rRNA from 1 species
GAUGAACGCUGGCGGCGUGCCUAAUACAUGCAAGUCGAGCGAACAGACGAGGAGCUUGCUCCUCUGACGUUAGCGGCGGACGGGUGAGUAACAUGUGGAUAACCUACCUAUAAGACUGGGAUAACUUCGGGAAACCGGAGCUAAUACCGGAUAAUAUAUUGAACCGCAUGGUUCAAUAGUGAAAGACGGUUUUGCUGUCACUUAUAGAUGGAUCCGCGCCGCAUUAGCUAGUUGGUAAGGUAACGGCUUACCAAGGCAACGAUGCGUAGCCGACCUGAGAGGGUGAUCGGCCACACUGGAACGGAGACACGGUCCAGACUCCUACGGGAGGCAGCAGUAGGGAAUCUUCCGCAAUGGGCGAAAGCCUGAUGGAGCAACGCCGCGUGAGUGAUGAAGGUCUUCGGAUCGUAAAACUCUGUUAUUAGGGAAGAACAAAUGUGUAAGUAACUAUGCACGUCUUGACGGUACCUAAUCAGAAAGCCACGGCUAACUACGUG